AGUGAACGCUGGCGGUAGGCCUAACACAUGCAAGUCGAACGGCAGCACAGGAGAGCUUGCUCUCUGGGUGGCGAGUGGCGGACGGGUGAGGAAUACAUCGGAAUCUACCCUUUCGUGGGGGAUAACGUAGGGAAACUUACGCUAAUACCGCAUACGACCUACGGGUGAAAGUGGGGGACCGCAAGGCCUCACGCGAUUAGAUGAGCCGAUGUCCGAUUAGCUAGUUGGCGGGGUAAUGGCCCACCAAGGCGACGAUCGGUAGCUGGUCUGAGAGGAGGAUCAGCGACACUGGAAAGGAGACACGGUCCAAACUCCUACGGGAGGCAACGGUGGGGAAUAUUGGACAAUGGGCGCAAGCCUGAUCCAGCCAUACCGCGAGGGUGAAGAAGGCCUUCGGGUUGUAAAGCCCUUUUGUUGGGAAAGAAAUCCUGUCGAUUAAUACUCGGUGGGGAUGACGGCACCCAAAGAAUAAGCACCGGCUAACUUCGUGCCAGCCGCCGCCGUAACAC
rnacentral:rRNA from 1 species